GAGGGAUAUACGUAUCUAUAGGUUACAGGCAAGUGAGUAGUGUCGUACAGCAGCAUCCAUGGGACAGCAGCGGUCUUCUCUAACGAUGCCCACAGCUUCCGCUCCCCUCGGCCACUACUGUAUGAGAACUUCCAAGCACAGUUAAUUAGCAGCUGCGGGUCUCCUCCCGGCUGAGGGAACAUGCAUAGGAAUGCUCUGUAACUUCAGUUCUAAGAGCUGGAUCUGACACGUAACGCUGUAAAGAACUGUUAAAUGGUAAUUGGGGACCCGACACCGUCCCUCAGGAGGGGAACUCACUCCACUCCCACCCCGCGCACACCGCUGCGUAUCCGCGGAGCGCCGCCCGCCCCGAGAGUCGCCCCGGGGUGGGAUUUGGCAGUUCGGUCCAUCUGUAGCGGAGCCCGUCCCGGAGCCGCCGGGGGAAGGCGGUGCGGCGCUCCCAGCAGCGUGGGGGUGGGGGCGGCGGCCCCGGGAGGGUUCUCAUUGCGUUCGCUCUGCCGGAGCCCGACCCUCCCCUUUCACCGAAGCCCCGGCGACGCACGCAGGGCGCUGGGUUGUUUUCCGAACGCUCAGUCGAGUAGAAACGGACCGCGCCACUCCUCCAUCACCGCACGUCAGCCACAAGAAAUAAAUACACCGUCACUUUAUUGCCCCGGGCGGUCCUCGGCGCGCGGCCUUCCGAGCAGCCCGUGCCGGCGGCCUUUCCCCGGCGGGAGCGACGCGAUCCCGGCGGAGGGCCGAGCCGCGGCCCGGGGCGCCGUCCUCGCGCGGUCGGACGGGCCGGGCCGGGCCGGGCGGGGCUCCCCGCGCCGAUGUCCGCCUCCCCUCGCGGCCGGGCGCUCCGCGGCGUUCCCUCCGGUCCCGAGGGCCGGCGCGCGGCGGGCGCCGCCUCAGGGGCAGACGCGGGGCCCCGGGUACGGCUCUCCCCCGCACCAGAAGUCGGCGGCCGGCGCGGUCUCCAGCAGCCACACCUCCCUCGGCAGCGCGGGCUCGGCGCCGGCCGGCGGCCCCUCCAGCAGGCGGUAGUAGUGGCAGUCCCGGCCGUGCUCGGGGUCGUAGGGCGGCGCCAGGAUGUCGAGGAAGGCGGCGGGGCCCUCCACCGCGUCGAUCUGGUGCAGCACAAAAUUAGACUGUUUUGUGGAAGCAGAAAUGCUUGGUAGUGGUAGGACUCUGUGCGCUUGCCUAGCAUGCCAUUGCAAGGACAAUCAGCAUGGAAAACCAGGACUUUGAGCUCUGCAUCUCUGCUUGAUCUUGACUUGCUGGUUGAUACCAGGAGCUGCUUCCCAGAUCCUCUUGAUUCGGUUCGAGAAGUUAGAAUUACCUGUAAUCAUUGGUAAACCAAAAGUCCCGAAUGGAGAACAAUGACAGGCGCCCACCGAGAAGAGCUACUGAUGACUGAGUUUAAGACAAGCUAGUGCUGAGAGAAUACCUUCAUCAUUUCAAAAACAUCCAGCUCCCACCUGUGCUUUGGGAUGUGAAAGAAUGACGUUGGCAGGUAGAGGCCUCAAGUUCCUCUCGGAUGCAUCUGGACCAUUUUAUUAGGGAGUCCACUGAGCCUGUGAUCAGCCUGAGUGCAGCUGAUGGUGAGCAGCGCCAAGGUGUGGUACUGAGCUGCUGAUCAAAUUGGUGUAUUUCAGAAGACCUGAAAAAAUUAGAUGAUUGAAACAUCACUCGUAAGCCACAGCUUCACCAUGAGGACUUUAGGAAAAGCAUGGCUGCACAGAGUACCUUCACCAGCAAUCUUCCAGGCUCCGACAAAACUAUUGUUCUUGAAGACCAGAAAGAUUGUUAUUGAGCUUUCCACAAAGCUGAAAUAAUGCUGUGUGUUAAAAAAAUGUUAACAAUUUGAAGAAGUUAUAAAAAUUUAUAAGUUGACUGAAUACUUUGGAAAUUUCUGCAUAUUUUAAUAUAAAUAGAAAAUCAAAGAAAUCGUGGAAGAUGGAGGAGUUAUUUCAGAUGCAUUUGGUGCAGUGAUGAGCUCAAACUUUAUUCGAAACUAUUAUGGUAAAAUAGAACAAGAAGAUACAAAAGAGAGAAAGAAGGAAUAGAAAGUGGUGGAAGGGAAGGGCCUCUGGACUGGUUCUCCUGCUCUGCAGCACAGUUACUUGCCUUUCUCGUUGAGGCUCUUGGUCAUCCCAUCUACCACGGUCAAGAAGACUGCCACAUACAGAUAUGGUGAUCAGUAUGUCUGGUCCAGUUUGAAUGCCCUGUCCUGGAGUGGGAAGCAAGUUCUGCACUGUAUGUGGAUGAAGUUAAUCAGUUUGCAGUAACAAAGUGUUGGAAGGGACUUCAAGAGCUUAUCUAUACAGAGCUGGCCAGCCUGUGCCUUGGAGGCCUGCUGGGGAGAGGUGACAUUCAAGUGAUGAAGAAAUAGGAGUCUGCACCAUUCGUCAGCCUAGCGAGAAGGCGGCUCUAUGCUCACUUUGAAAGAGGGCAGUGCAAAAGUUACCUAGCGAUGUGAGUACUCUGGGCACGGCGGAGGAGCUUCCCACUGAAUGCGGCACAGCGGCACAGCUGCUGAGGAGAGCAUGGCAACAGCAAGAAAUGGAAUUCACUGAAGAAAGCGCUUGACAAGCCAUGUGAGAACCAGCGUGAGCAGCCAGUGGGCACAGCCCCAUCUUCUUGGGUGUGUUUGAACAUGAGAUUCACCACAUCUGAGAGGACUGGCAUAGCAGCUCAGCCCAGCUAGGCUGGCAGCUGCUCUAGGGAUGCUGUGGGAAAGGGCGCAGGAACAGAUGGAGAGUAGUCCUUUCCAGGCUUGACUGUCCUGCAUUCAGGAGGUUGUAUGAGGAGCCCAGGGAACAGACUCAGCUUUCAGCUUGGGCUGAAGUUAUGGCUGGGUGGCAGAGCAAAUCGUGGGAAGGUGUGCGACGUGCAGUGGGAGGCACUGAGCCGCUCUGGGCAGUCUCCCAGCCUGGCCCCUGCACUGGACACUGAAGUGGUUCUCCACAACAUGUGCACGAGGGAAAAGCAUGUCUGCAAACGAGCUGUGCGCUUGGAGAUGAGAAUGUAGCUUUAAUGUGGAGGUUUGCACAUUGAGAUGCACUGACCUACUGGGACAGUUAAUGUGUUUCUGGACUUGCACAUCCCCUGUUUUCAGGCAAACAUUUCAUGCAGAUUUGUAACAUGCGAUAGCUGCCAAGCAUCUUUUACAUAGUCACAGUCUAGUGACUGAAGGAUCCACUAAUUAAGAAGCCCUUAAUUAGGCUUUUAAAUGAUAAACUGUAAUAGCUCUAGUGCAGCUGUUGUAAACUGUAGAGUAAAUUAUACCCAGUUGAAAGAGGCUUUAAUUACGUAUUUAUAUAACAGACUUUAAGGACUUUGAAAGAUAAAAGAAUUUUUAGUGUCUGCAAUUAAAGAAACAAGAGAGUAACAAUAGGGCUCUUAAACCAAUGAAAGCAAGGAAAUUCAAAAUUAAUCUGCAAAGUCACACUGGUACUUUGUUUUAUGCUCGUGGCAUUCUAAUUUUGGGGGUUUGUUUUUAUUCUUUUUGUUUCCAUAAUGCAUGAGAUAAAGAAGUAUUGUCAGUCGGGAGUUGAUGUCCCCUGCUCUCACUUUCCUAGCUUUCAUAGGUCCAUGUGCAGCCUUGGUGAUACUUGAGGAAACUUUCCUUGCUUUCGUUUUUGCAGAAAUUCCAGCAAGAAGAUUAUCAACUACUUUUUCUCCUCGCAUCCCGGUUUACAGAAUGGUUUGUUGUACACAUGCCUUUGUGAAGUCAGCAGGAGCUCAAAAAUCGGUUGGUUUGUUGGUUGUACCUGGAACUAUUCAGCUCUUUGGAGAUGGUGCUGUGGGCUCCCUUUUUGCGGGGCUCCGACCUGCUGAAAUUGAAGAGGGUUAAGUCUUUGCUCACAUUUAGGUCUGGACCAGACUCCAGUCUACCUUCCUGUUAGAUACCAGCACUGCUGCCCUCUCCACAGCUCUGCCUGACACUGCCUCUCUUGGUAACCUCACCAGUAGUCACCAAACUUGCAUGUGCUCUCUGCUCCCCUGGUUUACCCAACCCUGCUUGCUUCCCUUCCUUGCCACCUCUCAUCACAAAUAACAUUGAUGCACAGCAGUGAAUAAACACUUCUUUAUAGAGAAAAAUAAAACUGUCUCUGAUGUGCCAUCCGUUGCCUGAUGGGUUUGCUGAUCUGUUGCCAAUUCUUUUCAUUUCUUAGAUUACUGCUCCUCAAGACAAGAGCUGUGUAUUUAGUGCCUGUGUGCCUCUGCCAAGUAGAUGGUAUGUACAUUAGACUGCGAGACUGUAAUGUGCAGAGAGCUCAGCUCCUUUAGCUGCUCUCUGGGACUGGUCUUUACAACUGUAGGACUUAGCAGCCCAAGACAGCUAAACAAGGUAUUGCUUUUUGCUUAUUCCAACCACAUCCAAGCAUUUUUAUCUGUAUCACAGCAAGGAAAAUAAGGAAUACCACUCUCACAGUUAAUUUUUAUGGCUGAUUAAUUAGCCCAAAGAGUAUUAAAUUGUGCUAAUGUAGUUUGCCUCUUCGAUGCUGUCUUUUGACUUCAAUGGAACUUAAUACGUGCUUAAAGUUAACUACAUGCCUAAGUGCUGUGGUGAAUCGGGGCCUAGGGCAUUAAUUAGAACUUGGCUCAGAUUUACUUUCAAGGCUUUUUUCUCCUCUUUUUUUUUUUUUAACUCUUCAGAGCUCAGCAGUUUAAUUGGUAUGCAGAUGUUCCCCUUUAUUGCUGGUAGAAGCCUCUGUCACUGUUCUGAAGGUACUCAGACAUCAAGGCUGGUACAGUGGGCAGGAAGAAACCCCCCCUGAAGGCUUUCAAGCUUUGUGGGAAAUAAUGAUGUAUGAGACAGGGAUUCCUUUGGAACCUGAAGGGAACAUGACAGAUAGAAUAAUAUGGGAGGAAAACAUUGUCUUCACAAUUGAGACUGAUGGUCUCAUCUUGUCUCCUUGUUAUUGUUACCAACCAAGACUGAGAUGAGCUUUCUUACGAAGAACUUCAUUUCGUGGCAGGUUCUAUAUGUUGGACGCACUGUGCUCAGUGGUAGCUUUCCAUCCAAGGUACAGAUAUUGACAGGCUCUGAGGAACUCUUUGGGAUGGUGCUUUAGCUUAAAACCUAAAAUUCCUUCCAGCAUUCAGAUGCAUUUUGUCAGGAGUGACAGUUGCAAUUUGAUAAUCUUUUACCACUUUGCCUGUCUAUCUCAAACAGCUAGCUGGAGGGGAGAAACCCAGAGUUGUUGGGCACAGGAGUGUCAGCUUUAUGAGUCAGCUUUUCUCACACUUUAUUAAUUUCACUUUCCAGUGGUUAGUGCAUGUUUGGAAGAGACAACUGAUUUGUACGGAUCUGUGUAGGAUGGAGCAAAGCUGGAACUAAAGGAGCGCAAGUUGACAGCAGUGCAAUAGCUCUAAUUGACAGAUACCAAAGGCACUAUUUAAAGCAACUUUUCUUCUGCUGUUAAAGUUAAAAAUGGCCCCCAAUUUGUCCUCAGAUUCCCAUGUUAAAAAGAAAUGUUUGCAAGUAUAUUAAUUUAAAAUGGAUUAGCUGGAAUAUUAAGUGCUCCUUUUAUGUACUUGCAUUUUCAAGUUAGAUGAUCCAAAAUGCUUCUGUGCAAGGUACAGGAAGAUGACUGUUUCUUAACUCCUCCAGAGUAAAAGCUGUCUUUCAGGGGAUACUUUGCACAUGUGAGAUUUGCACUAGUGGUUUUUUGGCACUCACAGUUUCAUCAGAAAUGCAUUUCAGCAAAUGGGAGGCAGAAGGAUUAAUACACACGCCGCGUGUCGUGGGUGCAAAAAUGCAAGUAGAAAUUACAACCAUCAUUGGAAGGUCUGGGAAAAUAAGCCUUCCUGGAUGCGAGCAGGACAAAUUAGGAAAUAUCAGAUUUCUUUUACAACUGGCUGUUACUCUUUACAUUUCUGGAGAACUGGGAUCUUGCUGUUAAUCUUACAAAAAUAGAUGCUGUGGUGAAGCCUCAGGCAUGAAUAAAAUUGGAUGUUAAUCUUAAAGCAGAUUUUUUACAGCUAUGCGCUCAGAGCCAGUGAAUCCAAAUGAUUUGGAAACUCUGUGUUUGUUACUUAUUUAGAUCAAAGUGCUGUGGGGAAACAGGUCAGCGGCCCAGGUACAUAUUGUAACGUUUGAGGCUCCUUAAAGUUGAGCAGAUAAGGGCAGCAAACAUUAAACAUCUCUGGCUUCACGCAAAUAAUAGGCAAAGCUGAAAAAAGCCUGCUGACAAGAGGAGUGGGUGUUGGUGGGUGACUUGCUGCAGUUUUAGAGCUGUUAAGUGUAGGUUUUUUAGCAUUUUCAUUAUUUAAAAGUGGAGUGGUAGUUUCUUCACUCCCUCUGAAAAGUUACCAAUUUACUCUGAAAUACAGGGUAACCCGCAGUGAUUUAACAGAUUUGUAAUGUGCUGUAGAGUGAUUUCAAGUAACAGACUCCCUCCUUCUCGCCAAGUUUCCCACCGUCUCAGCUCUGCCUCCGCUCCUUUCUCUGUGUACAUCUGCACCAAAAUGCAAAGCAGGGGCUGCCCCACGUGUGACUUUCAUCAGCCUAGCUCCGGUGUCAACAUGCUGGGCAGCUUUGACCGCUCGUGCCCAUGCGGGUUUGCCUUAUUCCCAGUGUUCAGAAAGAAGAGGCUGAGUUAAUGACGUUUGGACGUUGGAAAUCCCACCACAGAGCAUGGCGUGGUUCAAAAGCACCUGCCACUCUGCUAGUACCACUGCAAGCAGACAGUCCUUCCUGGUAUGCAGACCUUCAGCUAAGUUCAUGGGAAGUACCAACGGAGCGUGGUGUCGGUCCCCAGGGUGCUCCUGGAAUCUGGGCAAUAUCAUCAUCUGCACACCUCUCUGUCUGAUUCAGAGAAAGCAGCUGAGCUGUGUUCGCAAAUAGCUGUCCAAUAAGACAGGCUUCAUGCGAAGAUGAGAGGCAGCUGAGACAUUUUCCCUGGCUGUCAAGCUGAAUGGGUCUCAGCCAGCUCAUGCUCCAGCCAGUUCAUUCCUACCUAUUGCUUGUGUUCAGUUGCCAUGCCUAUGGAAGGAUAUUUAAGCUAGAAGCCCCUUAGCAUGAUAAUAUUUGAAUAUGACAGGACCUUGCUGAAUAGAAGCUGGCCUUGUAUUUACUCUGAACAGUCUCUGGUGGUUUGUGGUAGGGAAUUGGGAGCUGGGGCUGAAGCCACAGCCUCUAGGACCAAACCACAGAAUUUACACACUCCUGCCAAGGCCUGCCAAUCUGUGUUCCUAGCUGAAGGUCUGUGUCACCGCUAUUUUGUGUGCUAGUGUCUUUGCUGUUUGAGGGAGGAAUCUAUUUUGUUCAGUAUAGCAAUACCGUCUAGCCUAGUUUAAUUUUAUUAGCUGCUGAUAACGUGUUACUAUUCUGCACGUCCAUGAGCUUGUUUAGUGUCAAUAACCAAGGGCAGAAAUACUUGAAUGGGAGCCUAGAUGGAGAUGCUUUCUCUUUCUCUAUUCCUCAUGAGAACCCACCUGCAGUACCACCACAUCCAGCUCUCAGACCCCCAUCACAAGAAACACAAGGGCCUGCUAGAGGGAGUCCAGAGGAGGGCCGCAAAAAUGAUCAGGGGGUUGGAAAGCCUCUCCUAUGAAGAAAGCCUGAGAGAGGUGGGGUUGUUCAGCCUGGAGAAGAGAAGGCUCCAGGGAAACCUUACUGCAUCUUUUCUUAAAGAAGACUUAUAAGAAAGAUAGACUUUCUACAAGGGCAUGCAGUGAUAGGAUGAGAGAUAAAGAUUUUAAACUAAAAGCGGGUAUAUUUAGAUUAGAUGUAAGGAAGAAAUUCUUUAUUGUGUUGGUGGUGAGGUACUGAAACAGGUUGCCCAGAGAAAUUAGGGAUACCCCAUCCCUCGAAAUGUUCAAAGCCAGGUUGGAUGGGGAUUUGGGCAACCUGGUCUAGUGGGAGGCCUGUGGCAGGGGGUUGGAACUAGAUGAUCUUUUCGGUCUCUUCCAACCCAACCCCAACCAUUCUAUGAUUCUGUGCUGAUAUUCUGGAGGACUCCAAGGUUUCUUUUGCCUUUCUUCCUUUCCCUGAUCUAGAAGGCCAGGAGAACGCUUAUCCACUCAUAAUAAAUGAUUCAAGCUGCAUGAGACUGAAAGGUCACUACAAGUUUCUGUUACUCUCCUGGUGUGACUGGUACAAAUCACAUCUUCUAGCAAACUUUAAGCAAGUAUGCUUCUGUUACAAGGUGAGAUGGUAAGUUAGUGCCACUGACGUCUGUUGGGUAGAGCAUUUUAUUUUGAAACCAUUCUUGCUCUGAAGGCUCAGUCAACUGCUCUUAAUCUGGGAGCCUACAGUGUAGGUAAGUGUGGUCAUGAGGCUGAACAGCUCAUGCAACUCUCCUUGACUUGAACUGGAGAAAGGCCAGAGUUUGUUCACUUUCACAUUCUGUAACUGAGAAAAAUGAAUUCUCUUCUAGGGAAGCAGUAAUUCCUUCCAUUCUUCCCAAAUAGAUGAUGACUAAAGAAGGUCUGAGCUGAGUAUAGAUAUUCUUACAUUUACUUAAAAUGAACGUAGCUCAUAACUCUUAUUUUAGCACCAAUCUGGAACACUACUGUGAACAGAUUUACAAAGUCUGCCUGUUUCUUACCUUGGCAUUCUGGUAAUUAUACUCAUUCUUGCACUGAUACUUGGGAGUUUGAUGAAGCAAAUGCCUGAAAGGUGAGUAGGUGAAAGGUUGAUAGUUUUCUAUACAAACCUGUUCUUUUUGUGUACGCCAUAAUUUUCUUUCAGUUCUAAAGUAUGAUUUUCUUCUUCUGAUACUAAGGAGUGAGGCACUGGGUUUUUUUUUGUUUUGUUUUGUUUUUUUUCUUCUAGCAUGUAUGUCAUCAGCAGUUAUUAACUUUGUUCUAGUUGCAGGGUCCUUUGUUGCUGGAUUGAAAAAACCUACUAACUUCAACCAUGUGUUUUUAGACUAGACACUUAACAAAAACCUUUACUGCAUUUAUAAAAUGAGCAGAUUUAAUCUGAAAGUCAUUGAAAGAAACCAAUAAAGAACUUCCUUGAUGUGAUUUCUGGACUUACUAUGUGGAACUCUAUCACAUGUUUUCACGUAUUGGGCAUAAGGGCAUUUGAAAGGAUAAAGAAGGUUAAAUGUAGAUGAUAAUGAAAAUAUUAUCAGUAUUUAUAGGUCAGGCAAUAAUGUCAGUGUAUUAAUGUGAUAUGAAAUAUUUCUUUGAUUUCAUGGACAGUGCCUUACUGUAUAUAGCUUGCUGCAAUAGUGUGGUCCUUGAUAUACAUAGUUUAACUUUUAAAAUGUGUUAGUAAUCUGUUUGCCUUGAAAUGCCUUAUGAAAAGUAUACUUAUUAUAGAACACAUACAGUUGCUAUCUGCCUAGUGCUAUCUCUGUUAUAGCAACUUAAGCUAAGAGAACACAUUUGGAAGAAAACCUCUUCCAAGCAGAGAAUUUUUUUUUGUUAUUGUUGCUGUGAAACUGUUGCUGGAAACGUUCAUUAACAAUUAGAGAUGUAGUCUUUCAACUGGACUUCCUUCAUUCAAAUUAUAUACAGAUUGCAAGACUCUUCAAGCCUACGGUCAUGUCAGGAGUGUGAGGAGUAAGAUAUUAGCCUUUCUUUUAAUCAGGAGAUCUUUGGAAUAGGUAUCUUGUUCACCAAAUUGCCUUCCUUUUCAUCUGUCACCAAAUAACAUCUUUGUAGAACUGCAGUAACUGGAAAGAAAGAAAAUACUGGAAAGUAUUUCUGUAGUUAGAACUGGGCUUGGCAUAUUUUCACCCUUCUGGAAAAGAGAUGCUGGUUUUGGUUCUUUGCUUUUUAAUCCCCUUUUUCAUGCCGUUGAGUACUGGAACAAAAGAAUAAAGGUGAGUACUGAGUAAACUGUGAAUUCUUUUUGGAUCAGACUUCAAGAGUCUGUUCUGACACACAUUUUGGUGUCACUUCUUCUGAGGGACUGUACUGACAAGCUCUCAGAACAUAUUCUUCCACGACAACUUCACAUAAUUUAGUAAACAUUUGAAUAAAUUUCAUACCAUCUUAUUGAAGUAGGCAGAAUACUUAUUUCUUGAGUAACCGAGCUUAAGUUAAAUGCUCAUAAUAAUUAAAACUAUAGAUUACAAUUAGUGGCUUGCCAUUCUAUUGCAGAAGUAGGUUGAAUGAAAAUCUCUGUCAAAAAUUAGAGGUUAAACACUGAAUUAAGAUACCAAAUAAUAGUGUGUCAGGAGUAUAGCCUUCUAUUUAGGACAGUGUUGUCAUGCACCUUGCUUGUACAAGGUCUGGAAACACUGUGAGACUUGGACAAACACAGUGCAGCCUCAGACUGUAGGGAUGUUACCUCUUUUUGAGCACGAUAUGCUCAGUCUCUUGGUUGAUGGAAAUAUGUCCAGUAUCUAAGGAGCUUGAUAGUGUGGGAGACAGCCACAGAUGCUCGAUUAGAAUACCCGAACGUUGUAGCAUGGGGCAGGAUAUAGCUUCUGUUCCCUUCUGCACCUCUGAAAUUGGUGUAAUAUGAAUUAGAUUGUCAUCAAGUUUAAUUUGUGAAGACCCAUAAAACAGAAAUGGCUCUACAUCGGUGCUAAAACUUACGCCACUUGCAUUAAAUGCAUGAGUAGCAAUCAGUAUUUGUUAAAACAAGUGCUUUUCCAGAAAUAUUUAAGUAAAAUCUCUAGGUGAAAUCUGAGCAAAAUUUGGAUUGGUACCUGCAAAAAUGGUGACCUCCUCCCUUCUAAGUUCGAUUUUCCUCUUGACGAUAGCCCUUCACCUAGAUGCCUCCCCAGGCAGCUGUAGUGAAUGGAUCUGGCCACAGAGGGAAUCUGGCCCACCGAAUUCCUUUUCUUUCUGUGCAAUUGAAUGAAAAGCAUGUGUCUUUUGAAGAACAGCGACUGAAAGAAAUAUUAAUGACUGCUGGGACAUCUACAGAAAAGCAUAAAAAAAUUACUACAGCAGGGAAGACAAAGGGGCUCUGUUAACUCUUUCUUGUAGGUUGUAUAUAUUAAUAGUAACGACCAAAGGUUCGUAUUUUUGCAGGGAAACACACAAGGCUUUGAAUUGUAUUGUUUUAAUUGCAGCUAGCUGAAUGAAUUAACUGGAAAGUCACACACAGUGCUUUGAUUGUCUAACUCUGUAUGUGAGGCUUUGGGAACAGUUUGUUAUUAGAAAAGAACAGCACUAACAAGAAAUCAGCCAACAUAUAAUUGCUGGGCUGAGGGACAGUUUGGGGAAAGCUGAUAUUUAUUUAUAAACUAUUAAAUAAAAAGCACAUAAUAUGCGGGUCAUCUCUCACUGCCUCCACACUUCAGAUAUUACUCAUCCUCCUAAGCUUCGUGUUCUACGGGGCAUUGCUUCUUAUAACCACUUCAGGAGUUGAAACCACCUACACCUAGGGAAGGAGAUGCUUGGACCUCUGUUACAAUGGCAGUUUUGGUUAUGAGACUGCACCAAAGGACAUGACUUUUCAGUUCAAGGAAAGAAUUCUUGACCAGGGAGCUGCUAUGUGCCUAAAAUACACACAAGCACUCGGGACUCUGUUUAGGUAGCCUCAAUACUGGUCAGUGUUUCCUACUGACAGCAGCCAUCUAUCCAAUACCCUAAAUAAAAGCUUAAGUAAGGCUUAAGAACAAUUUUGGCAUUCAUUUUAGUGGGAUUCUCAAAAACAUUUUCUUCCCAUCAGUUUGGGAAUUAUGCAACUUCUGGUUGUCUCUUGUGCUUUUCUCUGCCUGCUUAGUGCUAUAUGACCUUAGAAUUACAGCCACUUUGGAAGAUACAGAGAGGAGGAAGGUGGCGGCUGGGCUCACCAAGAGGCUGGAAUGCAUUUCAUCCUCAAUAGUUUUGGCUAUCAAAUACCUGUUCCUGCUUCUCUGGGGGAUGGAACCAUGGCUCUUUCAUCUAUGAGCUUUUCUCUAGGAAAACAAACAUAACUAUUAUCAUUGGCCCAGCUCUUCACAGCUAUACAGUUUCCUCUCAUUUCCAGCCGAGAGCUAAGAAGCCAAAAUUAUGAUGGAUUAGCUCUCUGAGGCUUUCUAGCUGUGUGGAAAGAGUAUUCUCUCCUCCAUCUUUCCUUUAGAAGCAGAAGAGGUGACUUCUGGGGACACACACAGCCCAUCUCCCUUGCCUGGCCACCCUUUCAAGGGGCAGCCAUAGGUGUUGGCAGCUGUGGCACUCACAGUCAGGUGCACAGGGCAGCCAAUCCUCUCUGCUUCAGAGGUGCCUGUUGCAAAGCAGGUGCACUGACACCUAAGCAGAUCCUCACAUGGCCGUGCAACAAGUGUGUGAGCAACGUCUGGGCCUCGCAGUGAGGUGUGUGUCCUGCAGACCAGGAGGCCCUGGGGACAGAAAGGUGCACCGUCACCUGGGUAGAUGGCACUGCCAGACCCAGCUUUGGGCUCGCUGAGCUGCUAUAUGCAGAUGAUGUUUAUGCUGUACAAACAAAUAGUACUGUUAGACCAUUCAAAUAGCGUUCAUGCAGCUUUUAACUGGUAGAGACUUUAUUUUAUGAUUUCAUCUACAGGCUUGUUAGAAACUUCUGUAUCCACACCAUCGGGCAGACUUUCUCCGUGAGGCCCAGCUGAGGUGAUGUGAAAAUUGCAUCACUAUUAUCAGCUACCUACCCAGUGGGUGCAAGACUGUUGUGCCAGAAGGUGCUUGAGAGGCGGAGCUGGGCAGGAUUUGACUUUGCACAGCUCUUGCUAAGAAUUGCUAAAUAUCUCUUUAACUGGUUUUUGACAUUUGAAUGUAUUUUCCUCAAGUUAGUUAUUCUUCUACAAAGGAACGUAGUUGCAUUUAUGGAAGAUCUUGACUUUUACAGCGUGUGAGGCCCAUGCAGUUUCCCCUGUGUACGCGUGUUGCCUGCAUAAUUACCAACAGCUGUAACAAAAACCCAGUUUUGUUAAAGGAGCUUUCAACAGAAAGGUAGAAGUGAUAUGCAACAGAAGAAAAAUUAAAAACAAGAGGGCUUGGAAAACGUUUAUAUACUUAGGAAAAAAAUUCAUUUUUAAUCCUGUUCUAUUAUUCUCUCUCUGAUAUUAAAAUCUAUAUAAAGCACUGCUGAUUUCAAUCGGCUCAACGCGAGGUAAUUCAGAACUCCC
rnacentral:lncRNA from 1 species